CAAGGAGUGGAGUGGGGGGUAAUAGGAGCCUAUAUAAGAAAAAGACCCAAAAAUCGGGACUGACCCUAUUAAAUCGGGACCUCUGGUUACCCUAGAUCAGAU